CGAUCUACUAUCGACUGACCAAUUAAGAUCGAUCGACCAACUGAUAUUCGACUAACGAUUAUCGAUCAACGACAUACGACUUGAUCGUCGGCAUAAUAGAACUAAUAGCCGACAGUCGCUUACAGAUUCUACUGACAUAUGAUCGGCCAGUCAACUCAGAUAUACCAUAACCAUAACGAAUGGUUACUGUCCGCAUAUCACGGCAC
rnacentral:lncRNA from 1 species